GCCCGCUUGGCUUAGUGGUACAGCGUCUCACUCGUAGUUUCGAAAUGAGAAGAUCCUCGGUUCGAUUCCGAGAGUGGGCA
rnacentral:tRNA from 1 species